AUUGAACGCUGGCGGCAGGCCUAACACAUGCAAGUCGAGCGGCAGCGGAAAGUAGCCUGCUACUUUGCCGGCGAGCGGCGGACGGGUGAGUAAUGUCUGGGAAACUGCCUGAUGGAGGGGGAUAACUACUGGAAACGGUAGCUAAUACCGCAUAUGUUGCAAGAACAAAGAGGGGGACCCUCGGGCCUCCUUCCAUCAGAUGUGCCCAGAUGGGAUUAGCUAGUAGGUGGGGUAAUGGCUCACCAAGGCGACGAUCCCUAGCUGGUCUGAGAGGAUGACCAGCCACACUGGAACUGAGACACGGUCCAGACUCCUACGGGAGGCAGCAGUGGGGAAUAUUGCACAAUGGGCGCAAGCCUGAUGCAGCCAUGCCGCGUGUAUGAAGAAGGCCUUCGGGUUGUAAAGUACUUUCAGCGGGGAGGAAGGUGUUGAGGUUAAUAACCUCAGCAAUUGACGUUACCCGCAGAAGAAGCACCGGCUAACUCCGUGCCAGCCGCCGCCGUAA
rnacentral:rRNA from 1 species